GCCCGGGUGGCGGAAUCGGUAGACGCGUCAGACUCAAAAUCUGAUGGCCUUCGGGCCGUGCGGGUUCGAGUCCCGCCCCGGGCACCU
rnacentral:tRNA from 1 species